rnacentral:tmRNA from 1 species
GGGGCUGAUUCUGGAUUCGACGGGAUUAGCGAAGUCCAAGGUGCACGUCGAGGUGCGGUAGGCCUCGUAAACAAACCGCAAAAAAAUAGUCGCAAACGACGAACAAUACGCUUUAGCAGCUUAAUAACCUGCUCAUAGCCUUAUCGCCUCAGCUUCC